AGCGAACGCUGGCGGCAGGCUUAACACAUGCAAGUUGAGCGCCCCGCAAGGGGGGCGGCAGACGGGUGAGUAACACGUGGGAACGUGCCUUUUGGUUCGGAACAACCCAGGGAAACUUGGGCUACUACCGGAUAAGCCCUUACGGGGAAAGAUUUAUCGCGAAAAGAUCGGCCGGCGUCUGAUUAGCUAGUUGGUGGGGUACUGGCCAACCAAGGCUACGAUCAAUAGCUGGUCUGAGAGGAUGAUCAGCCACAUUGGGACUGGGACACGGCCCAAACUCCGACGGGAGGCAGCAGUGGGGAAUAUUGGACAAUGGGGGCAACCCUGAUCCAGCCAUGACGCGUGAGUGAUGAAGGCCUUAGGGUUGUAAAGCUCUUUUAGCAGGGAAGAUAAUGACGGUACCUGCAGAAAAAGCCCCGGCUAACUUCGUGCCAGCCGCCGCAGUAA
rnacentral:rRNA from 1 species